UUGGAGCCUUCUUUGACCCUGAACUCAAUUUUGGAUGGGAAAAGAAUACCGUCACCUUCGUAAACAAACCGCCUAAGUCAUUAUAUUUUUUACUUCUCAGGAAAUCAGAAAAGCACUGUCAUCAUCUCAUUUGGCUUAAGAUGUAGGUAGAAAUGAAAAGGCCAAUUCUAGAACACAAACCCAUAAAUGACGAAGGGAACUAAACAAAUGGGCGUCACAUGUUGAAAAAUUGAUGAAGAUAAAAACCCGAAAAUCACUGAAAAAUGACUUUGACAAUUACUUUGAGGGUGACGAUAUGGUUGUUAGACUAUAUAGUAUUUCCCAAAGGAAGAUCUUGCAGGAUAAAGAACUAGGGACUUCCUUGUGGCCAUGGAAGGGGAGGAAGGGGAAAGACAUGUACCAAGGUAAGGAAAUGAUACAACAUAAAGAACUAGGGACUUCCUUGUGGCCAUGGGAGGGGAGGAAGGGGAGAGACAUGUACCAAGGUAAGGAAAUGAUACAACAUAAAGAACUGGGGACUUCCUUGUGGCCAUGGGAGGGGAGGAAGGGGAAAGACAUGUACCAAGGUAUUCGUUAUAUGCAAGGGUUAGGUUCUGCAAAAAGCUCUCAUAAUGUGAAUUUGCAUAUAUCGAACCUAUCAUCCCAUUAAUUAUAGGGGGUUAUGUUCCACUGUAAUGCAGGGAAACCCAGAACAAUCGAUCCUCUUAAAUAAUUAAAGUAUUAACUGUGAAUUAGGUGAUGGUGCGGCAGGGCAGACAUUCAGACAGACAGACGAACCAGUGAUGGGUCAGCAUCGUGUGGGUCUGACCAUGGCCUCAUAGACUCAUAGUGAAGGUGCCGAGGAUGGUUAGUUAGGCUUUUCUUUCACGAGGAUCGACGAGGAGGAAUUUUUCACUUAAGUCACGUGGGAGAGAGAAGUUUAAUGACGAGAUUUUCUAUUGUCUUUUUCUAAUACUUUCUUGGUCCCACACGAGAAAUUAAUUACAACAAGAAGGUAAAUCAGCUGCCUGGGAUUGAACCCGCGACCAGCGUGACGGGAGAGCCACUCCUUACCGAGUCAGCCAAAGAGGUACCCCACUCGCUGAAUGGGUUAUGGGAGGCUCGCUCAUCAGGCCGCUGCCGCACUACACCAUGACCCAUUUGUCGAACCCUCUAACUAUUUAUUCCAGCACCAUUUCACAAUAGUAAAGCACUAAAACAACAAUAAAGCACAUUAGUACAGAUAAACAUAAUAUGAAAAUACCUUUUAAACAAACAAAAACUUUAGGAUCAGAGGGAGGAAAAGGUUAGUUAGAGUCGAGGAAAGUGCGGGAAACAUUAGCACCCGCUGCCUUCUAGUGCGAGUCGGCCACCAUACCUCACCAACCAGUCACACAGCGCCGCUACUCGCAUAAUAGCAAAUUUGUCUCACAUAAAACGAAUACUUGGCACAUUUAGGUUAGUCGCAUAUGAACGAAUUCGCAUAUUUCAAACUCGCAUAUAUCGAAUACCCGGUGUGUGUACCAAGGUAAGGAAAUAAUGCAACAUGAACUGGAGACUUCCUCUGAGCCUUUGGGAGCUUGGGGAAGAAGGGGAAAGACAUAAGGAAUCAAAAUCUUACAACAUGAAGAUUAUCCAACCAUGAUUAUCCAAAACAAUUUUCUAGGUGGCAACCCACAGAAAAUGGCUGGCUGUCUUUAUGGUAAACCAAUUAAAAUAUGACAGGUUUGUAUGACAUUGGAUUACGCAGUGUGGGAGGCAGUUGGAUGGAAGAGGCUAAGGCGAGGCUAAGACGAAGUGUUAGCUUUAUAAGUGUGGGCUAGGAGAGUAGAAGGGGAGAUAAGUGCACCUCCAAGUCAGAAUGGUGGUGGUAUAUAAGCCUUCUCAUUGGGUUUUCUAUGCUGCAUCUUUCUAUACUUUCUUUUUUUCUUCUUUUUUUUACGUCAUGGCCUAUUGUGCUGGUAGGCUUCUUCCCGGUGGAUCCUGAUGGUCAGCCCAAGGCUUCUUCCCGGUGGGGCCUGAUGGUCGGCCCAGCCCGUUCUGGCACAGGCGAGUGUUUAUAGUGGCGCCAUCUUGCACUGGCUCAUGCUGCCCUCCUGGAGCUCAUCUUUAAUCCUAGAAUCUAGAGUCCGGGUUGAUAGGUGGUCUUCUGGACAGCAUGUGGGUAGUUUUAAGCCACUCGGCGGCGGCUGAAAAAUCCCAGCUUAGUGGCACCGGGCGGGGAUUGAACUCGCGUCGUCCUGAACGCAGCGCCGUCACGCUAUCCAUUCAGCCACCGCCUCCCCAUAAAUGCAUUUAUCGUCACUCUCAUUAGAUGUAUCAUAUACUGAAGCCGUGGACAGUGGGGGUCACUCAAUCCCUUACUACGAUACGAAACUAAAAAACAAUAAUUAUAUUUUAGUUGCUCUCAAUAUUCUGAAGACAAACCACAGAACACAGCGGAGAGUAUUUUCUGGUAAACUGACCUAUUUCUAUGUAUUGGUCCUGUAUAAAUAAUAAUUUUAUUUCCAGCGUAUCAUAUACGACCUAAAUUCUGAAAGCUCUUGUACAAUAUCCAGGAAAAAAAUUACAUCAUUCCAACAGAACUCAGCCUGGACGCAGUACGUAUAUGUGUACUCAGACAUCUCACAAGCACGGCGAGGACGCAACAUAUUCGUCCUUGUGUUGAGAGGGUUCAUUGCUGUGGUUGCCCAUUUUACACCAAAAGCCUUUGAUAUAAGUGACAGCACUAUUCUGGGGUACUUGAAUGUUGUUGAUUUUACAGUAAGGGAGGCAGUUCAAGGGCAAAAAACAAAAACAACAACAAAAAAGCCUGCUGGGUGCUGCUGCAGAAAGUUGGAAAGUUUGGUUUAGUCGGCGCAACAUCUGUGGUCAUAUGCCGGAGAGAGACAAAAGGGGAAGGAAUUAUAGGAGAAGGGAACAGAUCCCAGGAGACGGAACACAACCCCCGAUUAAUACCUGGUACCCAUUCACUGCUGGGUGGACAGGGGCGUAGGGUAUCGGAAAAGCCGCCCAAAUUUUUCCACUCCGCCCGGGAAUCGAACCCGGGCUCUCUCGGUUGUGAGUUGAGUGUGCUAACCACUGCACCACGAACCCCCCAGUGCUGCUGCAGAAAAGGAAAAAAGAAUGAGGGGCCAGAAGAGAGGUCAAUUUGGAAGAAGAGAUGUCUGGAUACUCUCUUCUUGAAGGAGUUCAAAUCGUAGGCAGGAGGAAAUACAAACAUAGGAAGUUAGCAAGUUAAGAAGAGUAGUUAGUGUGAAAAUAUUAAUAGAGGAUAGAAAGAUGCAACACUGCAGCUGAAUUUAACCCGAUAGCAGCGACGGGCCAAAUUUGUGGCUUUACCGUGUAGCAGCGACGGGCCAAAUUUGUGGCUUUACCGUGUAGCAGCGACGGGCCAAAUUUGUGCCAUGAUUUUAACCCCCCCAAAAUAGAUGAUACAUAAACUGAUCACAAAUACUUUGAUACAUAUUAUGAAAUAGUUUGUGAGUGAUGAUUUUUUCUCAUUUUUCUCACUUAGAGGGACCAUUAAGAAACAUGAUCCCCGCUGCUACCGGGUUAACCCCAUGACUGCAGGUUUCCUACAAGAAGACAUCACCAGCUACAGGAAUGGAACAAAAAGUAGCUGCUACAAUUUAAUGAAGAAAAAUGUAAAGCCCUGCACCUUGGGAGGGGAUAUUCAGCAUACCAACACCACAUGGGAAACACUCCACUAUCCACCACAGAGGCAGAGAGAGACCUGGGAGUGUAUGUUACCAGGCUACCAGUGAAGGCCAAACCCAUGCCAAUUGCAGUGGACGGGUCAACAAAACAUUAAGUCGGUAGGAUAUGUCAUUGGGUAUAUACAUUUUGAACCAGGUAUUAAAUGUAACAGUGUAGAGCAUGCAUGAAUUUGUUGGUGAGGCAUCCUGGUGGCAGAAACCACAGACAAUGGUCCUUGCUAGAUGCAGGGGCUGGCACACUGAUCAGGUUAUUGACCUAAAAGCUGGGACCUUACAUUAUCUUCUAUAUGGAAAGAAGUUUCCCAGGCAAGGAAAUAAAUCAAUGGUCAAAUUAAUGUAUUUAGAGUGCCUUUUAUUUACAUAACAAGUGUAAGUCAUGAACUAUGAAGAAUAUUCAGAGUUAGCAGUUUAACAAAGAAGUAAAAAGAAAGGAGGAGAUCAAUAAUAACCUUCAGCUUUUCAUAUACAUGCCUUAAAUUAUAGUAAAUUGAGUAUCACAAAUUGCAUGAUUCACAUGCACUCCACUGAGGUGCUGUCCACCACGUCCCAAGCCAACCUGGCAGGAUGACACACAGGCGGGGCACAGCAGCACAUUUACAUUAAUGACUCGCAUAAAAAAAGAAACAAGGAUGCUUUUGAAUGGUCAAUGUGAAUUAAACUU